rnacentral:rRNA from 1 species
CCCUUAGAUGUUCUGGGCCGCACGCGCGCUACACUGAUGCAUUCAACGAGCCUAUCCUUGACCGACAGGUCCGGGUAAUCUUUGAAUCUGCAUCGUGACGGGGAUAGAUUAUUGCAAUUAUUAAUCUUCAACGAGGAAUGCCUAGUAGGCGCAAGUCAUCAGCUUGCGUUGAUUACGUCCCUGCCCUUUGUACACACCGCCCGUCGCUCCUACCGAUUGAAUGAUCCGAUGAAUAUCAUGGAUUGAGGAUGCAAGUAGGUUAGCCUAUCUUCAUCUUCGAGAAGUGAAGUAAAUCUUAUCAUUUAGAGGAAGGAGAAGUCGUAACA